rnacentral:sRNA from 1 species
GGAGGUAGAGCAGAAACCCUGUGGUGCUCCAGGCACUGCUGUCCAGAGCACAGCAUGGAGGAGAAACGUCCUAUCAGAAUCAUCAUGUAUCAGUAGGCAUUCUGCAGAGAAGUUGCUUCAAUCACUUUCUCUUGGUUUGUCAAAAUGACAGUGACAGCCCAUGGAAGGGGUCCCACUCAAGACUUGGAAAAAGGCUGCCUGAGGAGCUGGCCACCGUCUCUCUUCCAGGUGCUGGGCAGUGGGAGGCUUACAGACUUCCCUUGGGUCCUUCUGGAGAAGGCUUCUUGAAGCAAGCAGUUGGUGCUGGGUCUGGCUCUCCUUUCUCCUCUCAUGUGUAACAAGUGAACCCCAGCAAGUCAGAUAUGUCCUGUUUCUAUCCAAUUCUGUGCCUAUGUGUACCAAA